GCCUCUGUAGCUCAAUUGGUUAGAGCGCUGCUCCGGAAUCGCAGGGCCGUAGGUUCAAUUCCUACCAGAGGAC
rnacentral:tRNA from 1 species